rnacentral:rRNA from 1 species
AUAGCCUUAAGAAUUUAUUUAAGGUUUAGCCUGCCCAAUGUUUAAAUUAAUGGCCGCAGUACCUUAACUGUGCAAAGGUAGCAUAAUCAAUUGGCUUUUAAAUGGAGUCUUGUAUGAAAGGAGUGACGUGGUAAAUCUGUCUCAAUUUUGUUUUAUUUAACUUACUAAAAAGGUGAAAAAUCCUUUAAUUAUGAAAAAAGACGAGAAGACCCUUAGAGUUUUUAUAAAAGUUUAUUGACAUAAGCUAAGUAUUUGUUGGGGCGACAAGGAAACAAAUAACUUUCCUGUUUUACUAGACGCGUUUUCAAAGUAAGAUUAAACUACCUAAGGGAUAACAGCAUAAUUCUUUUUGAGUUUGUGACCUCGAUGUUGGACUAGGAACUAAUCAGACAAGCCGUCUGGCUUUGUGGCUCUGUUCGAGCUU